rnacentral:rRNA from 1 species
GACGAACGCUGGCGGCGUGCCUAAUACAUGCAAGUCGAGCGCAGGAAACCGUCUGAACCCUUCGGGGGGAUGACGGCGGAAUGAGCGGCGGACGGGUGAGUAACACGUAAAGAACCUGCCCACGGGUCUGGGAUAACCACGAGAAAUCGGGGCUAAUACCGGACGGGUCAUCGGACCGCAUGGUCCGAGGAUGAAAGGCGCUCCGGCGUCGCCCGUGGAUGGCUUUGCGGUGCAUUAGCUAGUUGGUGGGGUAACGGCCCACCAAGGCGACGAUGCAUAGCCGACCUGAGAGGGUGAUCGGCCACACUGGGACUGGAAAACGGCCCAGACUCCUACGGGAGGCAGCAGUAGGGAAUCUUCCACAAUGGACGAAAGUCUGAUGGAGCAACGCCGCGUGAACGAUGAAGGCCCUCGGGUCGUAAAGUUCUGUUGUAAGGGAAGAACAAGUGCCGCAGGCAAUGGCGGCACCUUGACGGUACCUUGCGAGAAAGCCACGGCUAACUACGUGCCAGCCGCCGCGGUAAAAC